GCCCGCUUGGCACAGCGGUAAUGCGCCUCACUAGUAGAUUUAUCUGCUACUGUGGAAUAAGCAAUGAGGAGAUGACUGGUUCGACUCCAGUAGUGGGCA